rnacentral:rRNA from 1 species
AGGGAGAGGACUGGCGCCCCAGAAACCCUUUGUGAACUUAUACCUUACUGUUGCCUCGGCGCAUGCUGGCCCCCCCUGGGGGUCCCUCGGAGACGAGGAGCAAGCCCGCCGGCGGCCAAGUUAACUCUUGUUUUUACACUGAAACUCUGAUAAAAAAACACAAAUGAAUCAAAACUUUCAACAACGGAUCUCUUGGUUCUGGCAUCCAUGAAAAACGCAACGAAAUGCCAUAAGUAAUGGGAAUUGCAAAAUUCAAUGAAUCAUCCAAUCUUUUAACGCACAUUGCGCCCUCUGGUAUUCCGGAAGGCAUGCCUGUUCCAACGUCAUUUCCACCCUCAAGCAUUGCUUGGUGUUGGGGCACUGCCUUUUAAACGGGCAGGCCCUGAAAUCUAGUGGCGAGCUCGCCAGGACCCCGAACGCAAUAAUUAAACCCUCGCUCUGGAAGGCCCUGGCGGUGCCCUGCCGUUAAACCCCCAACUCUUGAAAAUUUGACCUCGGAUCAGGUAGGAAUACCCGC